rnacentral:lncRNA from 1 species
UGUAUAGCCCAUACAUUUACAAGAACACUAGAUCCUUUAGGAACAGUGUAUCCUCCCACAAUGCAUGUUUCACUAGGACAACGUGACACCAAGAGUGGAAGAAUUGGAUGUAUUCGCAAGACUUCUUUCAUAACUGCAUAAAGAUAUGGUAAUUGUCGAAUAUGAGACUCUUCCACAAUAUUAUCUUUUCCCACAACUAUCUCUAGUUCUUGCUGUAAUUUCCUCAGCACGUCUGGUUUGUUCAUAAUUUCAGCCAUGGCAAACUCAACAGUGUUGGAGGUUGUGUCAGUUCCAGCGACAACCAUAUCCUGUCCAUAGUAUUUGCGAAGUUAUUAUCAUGUACAACGAUAUUUUAUUUUGAGAACAGUAUAUUGGAGUUGAUCAGUUCAAGAUUCACAGUUGAAGUCUUCACAUAUUAUCUGUCUGAUGCUAAAGUUGCCAACUCUUUCCUUAAUGCAGCACAAUAACAAGCUUGCAGCUAAUAGUUCAGGACAUGAAUAUAUGAAUCUGAUUCAUCUAAUAUUUAUUUCUCAUCUGCCGGAAUAAUUCUUCAAUACAUUUACUACCCUAUUUUUAACUUCAAAUAGCAUUUGAUCCUCUUAUUAUGACUAAUAUCUCUAUAUGCCAACUUCUCAUCCGUAACAGGUAAGGAAAUUGACUAUUUGAAGGAAAAAAAGCAAACUUGAAACCAGCACCACAUCAAAUGAAAGGAAUUUUCCUAGCAGAAGAAUGUCAGGACAUGAAUUAACAAAUCUGAUUGUUCUGAAAUUUAUUUCCCAUAUACCAGAAUAAUUAUUCUAUAAAUUUACAAUCCUACUAUCUAUGUGAUAUCUCGUAACUUGAGCCGGGGGUCUUUCGGAAACAGCCUUUCUACUUCAUCAGAGGUAGAGGUAUGGACUGCGUACAUCUUACCCCCCCCAGACCCCACUAAGUGGGAAUACACUGGGUUUGUUGUUGUUGUUGUUGUAUUGCUAAAGUGGAUGAAAGUCCCACAUUGGUUGGGGAAUGAACCGGCAGUUUGCUUAUACAGACUUGGGCAAUCCUCCCUCAUAAGCUAGCUUUUAAGGUUGAGUUAGGCCCAGCUACCAUAUGUUACAUGUUACCAGAGCCAGGUCCAUCCCUGUCCGGGCGCCCGGUCCACGCAUGGUGAAAGUCCCACAUUGAUUGGGGAAUUGACUAACAGUUUGCUUAUAUAGACUUGGGCAAUUCUCCUCUCAUGAGCUAGCUUUUGAGGUUGAGUUAGGCUCAGGUGUCAUAUCUUUAAAUGGUUGAAGUGGGUGAAAGUCUCAUAUUGGUUAGGGAAUGGACUGGCAGUUUGCUUAUAUGGACCCGGACAAUCUUUCUUUCAUGAGCUAAUUUUUGAGGUUGAGUUAGGCCUAGGUGCCAUCAUCAUGAUUAGGGUAAGUUAAUAAUUAAUUCAUAGAGAUAAGUGAAUAUGGUUGAAGACAAAUGCAAUCUUGGCUACCAAAUAAUAGUCAGGAUGACUAUGAUUGAUUUGAAGAUUGUGACUGGGAGGAGGAAGAUGAUUAGGGUAAGUUAAUAAUUAAUUCAUAGAGAUAAGUGAAUAUGGUUGAAGACAAAUGCAAUCUUGGCUACCAAAUAAUAGUAAGGAUGACUAUGAUUGAUUUGAAGCUUGUGACUGGGAGGAGGAAGAUUUCUUUUGAAAAAAAAAAUUUAGAAGGAAACAACCACAAUCACAUCUAAUGGAGUGCACAACAGACAAAACAUACCAUAAGUAAUGCUUUGAGUUCAGUCAUAGAUAGAGGCAUUUUGGCAUCUGUUUCAUCUUUCAACUUCAGCAAAACUUGCAAAAAGUCCUUGCUUCCAAGCCCAAUACCAGUUCCCAUCCCUUCAUUUCUAUCCAGUUUUUGUCUUUGAUCAAUCAUGCACUCAAAUAUCUUAUCAAAUCUAUUUGCCAACACCUUCAUCUUCUUUCUAAGACCCUGCAAAUCAAACCAGGCCAAUCUGGGGUAAAAAUCGGAAAGAUUGGGAAUGCUAACCAGCAUAGUCAAAUCAGAGACAGCAUGCCUAAACUCAGCUCCAAGACUAGCUUUUUCCUCACCCUUCACUGUGCCACCCCAUAACAUGCUUGUAAUCACAUUAAGCAUUGUCAAGAACAUCUGUUCACCAAUAUUCACAGGCGAUCCCGCCUGAUUAUAAAAGUAAUUGAUCGAUUGUCUUAGCUCCCGUCUCCUUAGUCCAUAAACAGAAUCUAAAGUAGAAGCACUAAGCAUAUCACGAACACAAACCUUCCUCAACAUGCGCCAUUUCGGUCCAUAAGGAAUCCAAACUAUGUCUUGGCCACCAUAUGAAGCUUCACUAGCAGUAGCAGGCAUAUCUCUGUUAGAAAAAAUGGUAUGUUGAUCCUUAAGCACCUCACGAGCUAAGGAAGGAGAAGUAAUAAUAACCACAAACUUCUUACCGAGCCAGAGUCUACAAAUGGGGCCGUAAGUUUGAGAAAGAGAAGCCAAAUAGGUGUGUAGUUCAGGAUUAAGAGAAAGGAGAUUGCCUAUCAAAGGCAAAGCUUUAGGCCCCGGUGGCAAUGGGGGUAGUCCCUUUUUUGACUUAUUAAUGAAAAGCCAAAGAAACCAUAGUAAAGCUAUAACACCAAGAAAACAGGAGAAAAAUACACCAUUUUGCUCAAUAUUGGGUUCUUGCCAUGGCCAUGGGAAAGAAUCAAACAGGGAUUUGAAGAAUUUGAGAGACAUUAUUUGAGCCUAAGAGGGAAUGGAAGAUGGCAGAAGCAAUGUGGUGGGAAGCUCAAAGCUUUUGCACCACUUAAAUAAGAAUUGAUUCCUGAAGGCACCACUUAAAGUUUCGAGCAACAUUAGGGUAAGGCAAAAGCGGUUGAAGGCAAAUCCAAUCUUGUGUACUCAGAAAUAAUGCGAUAGUGAGCAUAACAGGUUUGCACUUUGAACUGUCAAAAAGGAAGGUCAUUUGCUCCCAUAUUUGAACUCCUUAGAAUUUAGAGGGGACCAACCAAUAUUACAUCAAAAGAAAGUGACUUGUCCUAUAUAGUAGAAAAUGCACAUAGAUGACAUAACAUACCAUAAAAGGCAACUUCACCUAGAAAAAUUCAAUGCUUUAACACCAUAUGCUCACUUCAUUUCACUUGGCCCCUGUUCGGAAAAUAGAUUUUUUUCUUUUUAUUGGUCCAUUUUAGCAGAUCAAGAGAGUUAUGUUACUCUUUUCACAUACUACCCUUCCUAUUAACAUGAAGUAGUUAGCCUUAGUAUUAACAUAAAGUAGUAGUAGCCGAAUUUAGAGUUCCAAGACAUCAUUAAUAAAGUUAGUUUAGUAAAAUACAUCUCUAAUAAAAGUUCUCUUAAGGUUUGUGCCAAGUCAACAUCGGAGGGAGUAUAAAAAAGUAAAAUUCCAAGAAGAAUAAGAAUAUCUUGGAUAAGACAAAAAAGUGGCUCUUGAAAGUCUGCAGAACCACAAUAUGGAUAUAAACAUACCUCCUCAAUCCGACUGCUGCUUCAAACUUCAAAGCAAAAACAGUAAAACUAGUGUUGGUUCCAAUUUGUUUUUGUCAAAUGGUGCCACAUAAGUUAGGGAAGAGGGAGUAAUAUUGUUAUCUUACAAACACAAAAACUCAUCUCUGAUGUGCAUCAGGUAGUAUUAUAGAGGGAGUUAGAUGAUACUAUCAACAGAAGAGCAGCUGGAGAAGAAGAUUAUGGAAUGAAUCUAAUCAAAUACUAGCGGUUUAGGCACACUUAGUGGCAGGUCAUAUAUUCUUUUGUGUCAUUGUUAGAGUGGGUAAAAAGUCCCACCUUGGUUGGGGAAUGGACUAGUGGUUUGCUUAUAUGGACUUGGGCAAUCCUUUGAGGUUGAGUUAGGCCCAAGGUCCAAUCUUGACAUGUAAUAACUACACAGAAACCUGUGAAUUGAUUUCAAGUGGAUCCCAGUUACAGGGAACACAUUUUCAUAGUUGAUCAUACAAACGACAGAAGCAUCAUCUCUACAAACACAUAGCCUAUACUCAUAAUAAAAACACAAGAAAAAGGCAGGAAACUGGAGACAGCAAAUGUCAAAGGAGUUGUUGGAAAUUAACCAUUUCACAUGGAACUUUGAGUUGUCCAUAAGACCAUUGCCAGGAUAGAGCAACAUCUUUAUCUUACUCAUAGAGUGUCGGAUUAGAUAAUCUUGGAACAGGUAUAGCCACUAGAGGCACUUUCUUCUUCAAAACAAUACCAAACUUCUCCGUAAGAUCUAAUGUCUCUCCUUCAGGCAACUUCCAGUCGAAAGAAUGAAUGAGCGAAGCCAGUGAAUACAUGAACAUCCUCUCUGCCAUGGCUAUUCCCGCGCAGAUUCUUCUGCCAGAACCAAAUGGAAAGUAAUUGAAAUCAUUCCCACUAUAGUCCCAUUUAUCGUCCAAGAAUCUCUCCGGAAGGAACUCAGUAGGAUUUUCCCAGAUAGAAGGAUCUCUCUGUAUAGCCCACACAUUUAUGAAAAUACGAGAUCCUUUAGGAACAGUGUAUCCUUCCACAGUGCAUGUCUCACUAGGACAAUGUGGCACCAAGAGUGGAAGAGCUGGAUGUAUGCGCAAGACUUCUUUCAUAACUGCAUAGAGAAAAGGUAAUUGCUGAAUAUGAGACUCUUCCACAAUAUUAUCUUUUCCCACAACUGUCUCUAGUUCUUGUUGUAAUUUCCUCAAGACGUCUGGUCUGUUCAUAAUUUCAGCCAUGGCAAACUCAACUGUGUUGGCGGUUGUGUCAGUUCCACCA